UAAUCUCCGCAGGCUCUCCGGCCCCCAGGCUGGCCUGGGUGAGUAUCUCUUUGAAAGGUUCACCCUCGAGCACGACUAGAAGU
rnacentral:pre_miRNA from 1 species